rnacentral:lncRNA from 12 species
GACAAAUUCAGUUUUUUAUUUAUUCUUUCUGCUGUAGCUUCUCUGAGACCCCAAGACCUACAGGUGGACACUAACCCCAGAAUGCUGCUGCUCCCUAGAUAGUGCAGUACAUACCAUGCUCUCCUAAGAGAGGGAUAAGCUGUGAACCGUCCACAUUUAUAGACCCUACAUCAUUGCUCAAGUCUCCACCCCCAGCUUUGGCUCUAUGAGUCCUUCCCAGAACUUCAUCCGAGGCCCAGAGUUUCUCAGCUGCGUUCAGAUUGUCAGGUCAGGUCUGGAAGAAUGACAGCUUGAGUUAGGGCACCGCUCAUUAUUUACACCCUACUUUAUUGCAAAAUAGGUUUAAAGAAUCUUCAAAAACACUAUAACUAGGCUACUUCAUCUAAUAAAAGACUUUUAUCUAAAUUAGUGAUGUGUUGGCCUAAGAAACUGACGAGAUACGGACAGAGUGUAACUGCUGGGGAAGUUUCUCAGAAAAGAGACUUUGGGUAAGAAGAAAUGCUACCAGGGAACAAAAUCAGAGUCAUCUUCUCAAACAGGUGAGCGCAGUGAGGAUCCGGGCUGUGAUGGUGUGUGUUCAGCUGCACCUGCCCGAGAGCAGGAAGGCCGAACAGCUGACGGCGGUAUCUAGUUCCAGCUCUCACCUGGUGGCAGCCACCUGCAGGGAGGUAAAUCUCCUAGGAAGAAACUAAACGUCUUAACUGCAAUUUUAAAGUCUUAAACCUCCAAACUGCAAGUACACAAGGGAACUAAAACAACCCUAAUGUUGAUAUCUGAAUUUCAAAUUUCAAAUGUGCUUCCAUUUUUAAAGGUUUGUGCUUGUGAAACAUUCCUGGUGGUCAGGGACAGUGCCUAGAAGGGAGCUGCUUUCUCAGUUCCAUGAAUGCUUGCGGACUGCAGGAAACAAGGUAAAGCUAUCCUCCGUCCUUGAGGCCCACGAAGCAGAUUUAUCAAGUUUAAGACUAACACCCGUCAUCUACCACGUGUUGAUCCCGGUAUCUUCACUGUGACUCCAAACCAUCCCGUCUUCAUUCUUCUCCCACUUACCCACCAUCCUCACUCCCCUAAACAUCAUCAACUUCUCGCUGCUUCUUGAGCCCGUUAAGACACCUGCCCCUG